UGAGGAAUAUUGGUCAAUGGGCGAGAGCCUGAACCAGCCAAGUAGCGUGCAGGAUGACGGCCCUAUGGGUUGUAAACUGCUUUUAUGUGGGGAUAAAGUGCGUGACGUGUCAUGCAUUGCAGGUACCACAUGAAUAAGGACCGGCUAAUUCCGUGCCAGCAGCCGCGGUAAUACGGAAGGUCCGGGCGUUAUCCGGAUUUAUUGGGUUUAAAGGGAGCGUAGGCUGUCUAUUAAGCGUGUUGUGAAAUAUACCGGCUCAACCGGUGGCUUGCAGCGCGAACUGGUCGACUUGAGUAUGCAGGAAGUAGGCGGAAUUCAUGGUGUAGCGGUGAAAUGCUUAGAUAUCAUGACGAACUCCGAUUGCGCAGGCAGCUUACUGCAGCAUAACUGACGCUGAUGCUCGAAAGUGCGGGUAUCAAACAGG
rnacentral:rRNA from 1 species